rnacentral:rRNA from 1 species
GACAGAGGGUGCAAACGUUGUUCGGAAUUACUGGGCGUAAAGCGUGUGUAGGCGGCUUGGCAAGUCGGAUGUGAAAGCCCUGGGCUCAACCCAGGAAGUGCACUCGAUACUGCCGAGCUUGAGUAUCGGAGAGGUGGGUGGAAUUCCCGGUGUAGAGGUGAAAUUCGUAGAUAUCGGGAGGAACACCGGUGGCGAAGGCGGGUCUCUGGGCAAUUCCUGACGCUGAGGCGCGAAAGCGUGGGGAGCAAACGGG